rnacentral:misc_RNA from 1 species
AAUUGGACAUUGUCCUCAAUGUCUAAGGUAGUGCAGCAUGAAAACUCAAAGCAAAGAGGAAUAACCAGGAAUAGUUAAAUUUAAAAGCAAAAAGAAAGAGUUGCCUGGUAUAGAGCAGUGUUUUAUCAUCUAAAAUGUGAAUUUAAAAGAUGAUGGUGAUGCAUAAGAAAGCUGCACAAGUUAUGCAGAAUAAAUGCUUUGCAGAACAGGUGCAUAAGGAGACUGCACAAGUUGUGCAGUAUAGCAUGAGUUGCAUAAGGGACUGCAUAAGUUAUGCAGAACAGUUGCAUAAGGAGAAAUAUAAGUUGAAAAGUAGCUGCAUAAGCAAUUUCAUAGCCUGUACAGUAUAUUGAAUAGCUGCAGCAUAAUGAUAUAUCAAGGAAAAACUUGAAAACAUCUGCAGAGGUAUGUAAAUAUAUACAAUGUAUUGACAAGUAUGCAUAAAGGAGCAGCAAAGGCAAAGAGAAGCAAUGAAAAACCAAUGGAAUAGCCCUCCAAUUGUAUUUCAAGAAAACAGAAUUCAAGGCAGACUAAAAUUGUUGCAGCACAUCUAAAAAGAAAAGCUCCUAGAAGUUGAACAAAAGCAAGAUAAAAACUAAUCUAUUUCUAUAGUCUUGCCCUUAUCCAAAGGUGCUACUAGAGGACUAGACGGAGCUGGCUGCUGCUGAAGGGGUUGUUCUGGAGGAGGUGAUGUAGGUGGAGGGGUUUGUUGUGGAGGAGAAUCGGGAUUGGGGGCUUGCAUAGUGAGGGGUGUAACUUGGAGAGGAGAGCCUUGAGGGGAAGGGGGAGGCAUUUCCAUGGUAGUGGUGGUUGAUGAUGGUAGGAAUGGAGGAGGGAAGAAGAAAAUAAAAGAGAUAGAGGGGAAGUUGGGUAUCGGUCGGC